rnacentral:rRNA from 1 species
UACGAGGGGGGCGAGCGUUGUUCGGAAUUACUGGGCGUAAAGCGUGUGUAGGCGGCCACGUAAGUCGGAUGUGAAAGCCCCAGGCUCAACCUGGGAAGUGCACUCGAUACUGCGUGGCUUGAGUAUCGGAGAGGUUGGUGGAAUUCUCGGUGUAGAGGUGAAAUUCGUAGAUAUCGAGAGGAACACCGGUGGCGAAGGCGGCCAACUGGACGAAUACUGACGCUGAGACACGAAAGCGUGGGGAGCAAACAGG